CAGCCUGUCUUUAAAAACAGAAAGCAAAAAAAAAAAAAAAAAAAAAAAGAGAUUUGAAUUGCAUGAUUCCAUUCUUGCUUUGGUCAUUUACUGGGUAUAAACUCGUUUUCCUCGUCUGUAAAACACAGAAAACAGUGCCUCCCUUAUGUGAGUUAUAGAUUAUCUGAUGAUUCAAAUAAUAUAUGAAAGUACUUUUAAACUAACGACACAAAUACUAGCUGCUGUUUAUUUAUGAUUCAUUAAUUAGUGUUGUAUCCUAUGAAGGCUCCAGUUUUGUUUUUAUCAAAGAUCAUGUGGAGAAAUGGCUUGCAUUGGGAUAAUUUAUGACUUAUUAAAACAGUUUCCUUCUAAUUAAGGGACUGUUCUCUUUGGAAAUUAGAUAUUAAAUGUAUGGUUUUUGUGGCAACACUGGGAUGUGUGCUGUACUGCUACUCCCUAAAAAAAAGGUCUUUUUAAUAUUUUAAGCAUUGAUCAGACUUGAGGCUAUUUGCUUUCCCAUCCUCAGACCCUCAAGUGCUUGUUACAGGUUAGAUUGUGCUUGAUAUUCAGAAUUGAAUAUAGAAGCGUGUGCUCUGCACGUGGUUGGUCAGCUGGCUUAGAGAGGCUGGAUUCUUCAUCAUGACACAAUUAUAGAAAAAUACAGGGUUUUCCUGAGUGGCCCAAAAGGAGAUGAGGUGGGUGUUGAGCAAUUAGGACCUUAUUUCUUUAAGUUUCUCCUGAAAUUGUUAAAAGUCAGCUCACCUCAAGACACUUCUUAGUUUUUUUGUUUUGUUUUGUUUUGUUUUGUUUUGCCAAAACACAAGGCAUCAAAUGUUUGAAAAUAUCCUUGGUGCUCAGCUAUAGAAGUUUCUUGAAUCCAUGAGUAAUAAGGAGCUAUUUGGCAUCAUUAAAUAUGGAGUGUUGGUUUAUCACUCCAGUGAAUGAUUCAGGAGAGAAUACUGAGUUAGCUUCCUGCUGAGACAUGGAGGAUACCUGGAGUUUAUCUAGCACAUCUCUGUGAGAUCCCUGAGAGCCUCCUAGAUGAGAAUGCAGGUUUAUUACUUCUACCUGCUGAGGAGACAGAAAAUUAGUAUGAUAAUGGUGAUAAUUGUUCUGUCCUCUGGACAGCCUGGACAUCAGGGAAGCUUUGAGGUUUCAGUAAAUGCUUAUUUAUUCCUCUGCUUUUGGUACAGGCCCAUGUCUCUUGGUGAAGAUGAGAGAUACAUAGAAAUAUAAUAUAAGCCCCAUGUGUAACCAUAUGAAAAAAGUAAAAAGAAGUAGAUAAAUAAUUUUAAUGAACUCACUUAACAUAUCUAAAUUAUUACCAUUUCAACAUGUAAUCAACAUAAAAAUUAAUGAAGUAUUUUAAAUUCUCUUUUUGGUGGUAUGCUACAUACGCAAACUCUCGUGCAUACUUUGUACUUAGAGCACAUCUCAAUUCGGACUAGCCAUGUUUUGAAGGCCUUUUCGCCAAUAGUGGCUAUUGGGGACCAUGGUGGACAGUGCAGGUUUAUUCCUUACCAACCUGGCCCGUAGUACAAAGUGCUGUUUCCGGGAGACAGCCUUUACUCCUCACUAAGUAUUUAUUGGGUAUCUAAUAUUUGCACAGUUUACUACAUUUUGGUUAUAUAACCAUAUAACUUGAAUUUUAAUCAAUGAAUCAAGAAACAUAAAAAAUAGUAUAAAUAAAGUGAAGUUUCUGGAUAUCUGCUUGCUAUCAUAUCUUCUGUAUGAUACAGAAGCAACUGAGUAUGAGUUUUCAUGAAUUUGCAGUGUAGCUUUGGGAUCAUCCAAGUUAAAAUUAUAGGCUAUGUGACAUAAAAGGCAUUGGCACUGGGGGGAUUUGUGUAGCAUCAGGAAGAGCUAGACAGUCAUCUUCGAAAAGCAGGUGAAACUGAAAUAGAAUAAUGAACCCAAGGGACUGCCAUCGAAGAGAUGUAGUGUACUAUUUAGGUGUCAGAGACAGAAAAAAUAAAUAGUGAAGGUGGCUAGGAGCACGAACUCUAGUAGAAGGGAGGCAUUGCCAAUUACAGGCCUUGAUUUGUAUUCGAGGCACAUCUUUUCUUGGGUAUCUCUUGAGUUCCAUGAAGAUAGCCAAUGAGUAGUGCGUAAUAAUUGUACUGCCUUUCUGCUAGGUGGCAGCUGGUGUUAGCCAAUGUUUGAAUACAUUUUCAAACUUAAUUUUUACAAAAAAUGUCAUGAAAUAGGCACUAUUAUUAUCUCCAUUAAUUAAUGAUGAAAUUGUAAAUACACUGAUGUUAAGAAGUGGAACUAGGACCACAUGGGUAUUAAAUGGAGGGACCAAAAUUUUGGCCCAGUUUUAUCCAACUGUAAAAUCUUUUAUUUUUAUCUUAUAAUUCUCUUCAAAUUAGACAAUACCAUGGCCCAAAAUAUAAAUAACUAGUCAGAGAUUAUAAACAUAUAUCUGUAUGAAUGGAGAAGCUUGAUUACAUGUUGUCUGAUUUUAACCAGCUUAGAUUGAAAUUAAAGUAUUAAGUGUACUUAAAUUGUUUAACUUAUUCGAGAACCAAUUCAGAGGCCACUUUCUAUAAAGAGCCCCACUUCAAGUCCCUUAUUUGGAAUUCAUCUCUCCUUCCUCGGCUCUCCCCAAACAAUUUACACAUCUCUUGGUGCAUAAUAGCCUUCUCCUUUGAUUAUAGUUAUACAUGAGCAUGUUUUAUCUGCCUUUUCUCUCCAGCCGCUACAUGUGUCUUAUACACAAAAUAGCUGCUCAAAAUAUGUUUCAAAUAGAUGAACUAAAUGACUAGAUGGAUGGAUAGAUGAACAAAUGAAUGAAUAAAUGAAUAAAAAUAUUCUUGUCCCCUUCAAAAUAAGAGAAGUGUUUGUACAAAUUAUCUUGAGAGUAGGUAAAAAGCCUUUGCAAAAAAACCCCGGGGGUAAAACCCUCUGAUUAUGGCAAUAAUAUGCAACGUAACUAUUGUAAGAGGAGGGCAGUUUGAAAAACUCAAAUAGUCACGUACUUGAAAUAUUAACUAUUCAUACUAUGCAUAUACUGGUUUACCAUCCAGCACAUAGAUACAGUUUGUCUUUGACUUCACAGAGCUGGCUUCAUGCAGCUCUUUUAGAAAACAUAUUUUUCCUGACCCCCCUCCAAGCUGUACUUGACAGGGACAAAACUGAGAGCGUUGGUCACUGCAGGAAUCAUUGUGAGCUUUUAGGAGGGGAAAGUCAUUUCUAUGACUAGUAGUUUUCAGGAGACAUGGGCGUGGUUUUCUCUUUUCACACGUUUUAGACAAAAGUGGCAGACUGAUGAGUUUAAUACAGAGGAAUACCAUGGCUUGUUCAUGGGGGAGUAACUUUUUACAGGAAGGUUUAUUAUCUUUGUCAUCCGAAUCCAUAUGCCAUGCUCAGAAAAUACAAGGGAUCUCUGUCCCGAGUGGAGCAGAAAUAGUUCUUUCAUGCUGAAAUGUACUUUGGUCACCAUUUGACAUUUUUAAGAAGCAGCUCUGUGAAAUAUUUUUGAAAGUGGAUUUAUGUAUUCAUAUUCAUUCAUGUGCUAUUUUCUCAUCUAUAUAUUCCCCAUCUUAUUCCAGAAAGGAUUUAAGCUGGCUCAUCCAUUUGUUGUAUUUGGAAUGUUUCUUUAUAGGUCAAGGACUAGUUUUCCAGUGAAUUGAUUUAAAGAACUGCAGUCCUCUGACUCAGGCUUGAAUUCACUUAUGAUAUUGGCCAUUUGGGAUCUCUCUCUGUUAUAUGGGCAGAGUAAACACAAGUGUAAAUCUGUGGCAACGUUUUGGAUUUCUCAGAUCAGGUACUCCAUCAUCUGCUUUUUAUCACGUACAAAAGAAAUACAAGGCCAUUUAUUUCCCUAUUACCCUGUGUUCUGGAUUUUUCUAUUUAUAAAUGAUAUUUUAUAUGCUCUGUUUAGCAGUUAGUAAUGAAGCUUAAAGGGAAACCAUUUUAAUUAAUGCCUUAUUUGCAAGUGUAGCAUGCGUCUCUUUUCUUUGAUAUUAUUGGAAAUUAUUUUAAAUUCAGUCAAAAGAAGGUGCUUCAGGCAAAUGAGGACUUGCUAAUAGAGAGCUGUAUUAUUUCAUUUUACUAAUGAAAUGCUGUUAAUUUUUUCUCUGUAUUUUACCUGCUGCAACUGGUUUCCUUGACUUUGUUCAUACCACUAGGAUUUUUGCAAACAAACAAACAAACAAAACUGACUAUGAGUAUUUAAUAGAACCAUUGCAAUUUUCUGUCAAACAGGUUUUGAAAUGUAUCUGGUGCUUAACAACACAUUGCUUAUUUAUUUAUUUCAAACCAUUAGCUACUAUUACAUUAUAACUAAAACACACACACACACACACACACACACACACACACACACACACAGAGAAAGCUUUGGUUCAAUUAUAUUAGAUAGCCCUCCUGUUUCCAUUGUGUUUGGGGGAAGUAAAUGUAAUAAAUAAUUCUAAACUCAGUAAGCUGUCUGUUGAAUUCCUGUUGGAAUUAGCUGAGAGUUUGUAUGGAAAAGGCUUAGCCUAGAACUUCAUAUGUAUGGGGCUAGGGGAUAGAACACUUGAAGGGAUGGCAUGGGCCACAGGGCUGAAAAGAGGUGCUGAGUUAGGAUAGGAUAUAAGAAUGUAUAAGAAUAGGAUAUAAGAAUAUCUAAGAAUAGGAUAUAAGUGUGGCAGCACUGAAAAUCAGAUGGACAUUUGCUUCAAAACCAAGCAUCAACACUCAAUCUACCUCUUAAACCUCUUUGAACGUCUCUUCCCUAUCUUUGAUGGCAGAAUGGUAAUACUUAUUUUGAAGGUGUGUCAGGAUUGGUAGCAGUGUGUGAAGAUCACAGCAUGUAUUAUGAACUCAUAAAUAACAUUGCCUGGGGUGUUAUUUUUGUUAAGUUCAUCAUCAUCAUUAUCAUCAUCAUCAAAUAUAAUCCAUUGCUUCAAAGAAUUUAUAGUCUAGUUAGGGACAAAAAGAUUGUGUGUUCGUGUGUGUUUAUAUUAAAGAUGUGUUGGAAUUCUUAUUAAGUAUCAAUUUCAUUGCCAACAUGGACAUGGCAAAUGACAGAUUUCCCCAAAAAUUAUUGAGGGAAUUACUGAGAUUAGAUAUUGAGGAGAUUCUAGGACACCAAAACCAAGGCAACUGAAGCACUAAGGCACUCGACAAAAUGAAAUGCAAACGAAUGUCCAGAGGUUUCAGCACAGAAGUUGGUCUGGGGGCCAAUUAGAAAAGCAGAGCUGAGCAGAAACAGUGGCAAUGCGGGGUGAAUGCAGCCGACCGGGAAACCUGCCGUGAAUUGUAUUUUAUUCCUGGCAAGGCCUUAUUUGAAGUUUUCUUUCUUGAUUUUGUUCUUCCCUGCUACUGCUAGCCACAUCUGACAGAUACACUAAUAUACAAAAAAUUAAAUAACAAUAAAAAUAACAUUAUAAGACGUGCCUCAAGGGAGAAUGAAUAUCAAGUACCAGAUGAUGCUGGAAUGAAUUCUGCUGGAGUUCAGAGGACACAGCUGUCUUAUGGCCUGAGGUUUAAAGGAUGACACUAUGAGAAAGGAGGCCAUGACAUCACUUUUGAAGAAGUGUGCAGGGAGCACAAUGGGAAAAGGAGGACUGGAAAAGAGAUGAGAUCUUGCUGGAUCAGCUGAAACACCUGCCACCUGCUUGCCCAGACAGGAAAUCUUAAAGUCUACGCUCCUCACCCUCAGCACCCUGCAACCAAAAAGAAAAUUCAAAGGGCUCUCACUCUAUUUGAUUGGAGUGUUGAAGAAUCUUUGGCAUUGAUUCCUGGUGCUUUGCUGCCCAGGCACCCCUAAUCUUAGCCCCCACCACCAGGGGGCCUCCCUCCAGUCUCCUUCCUCCUAAGCAUUGAUCACAGCCCCCUCAGGUUUAAUAAGCAUGGCUAUCCAUGUCUAAAACAAUAGUAUUUUAUAUCAUUAAUUUGUUGUGAACUUUUCAAGCUUUUCUUCACAAAUAGCAUAUGGAUAUUCAAUUUGGAAAAUUUUGAUACAGGUUUAAACAAAAUCAAAUUCAAAUAAUCUGUAAUUAUGCCAACCCCAGAAAGCUAAUGCCUUUGCUAAUUUUUAGAUAUACUUCCAAAUUUAUAAUAUUAUGAACAGUAGUACACAUCAGUAAGUACACAUCAUAUUUCACAAAACAUGGGCUCACUUUUUUCUAAUUCAUCUUAUUAAUAUUUUGUGAACUUUUUUCCUUGUUACAUGUCUACCUCAGUAACAUUUUUUUACAAUCUGAAGAGAAAUUAAUUGUAUAGAACAGAACAAGUUUCCUUUGUUCAUUUUUACAUAUGUUUCUUCUAAUGUUUUUCUCAUAACCUAAUAUGAAAGUGAUAGGUUGUGGCUACAUUUUUACUUAUAUUCAUAACAACAUUUUAGGAUACAUUUUGUCAGAAUAUAUUUUAUGGUCAAAUUGUAUUUACAUUUUAAAACUUUUUGGUAUGUAUUUACAAAUUUAUUUUAAAAUAUUGAUUUAUGUGAAAUGGGAAUGUUUGAGAGUGCCCCUUCUUGGAUUUCUAGUCAAUAUUGAGGCUUGUUAUAAAACAAAUAUUUAUUUAUAAAUAAAUAAACAAAUAAAAGCCUUUUCUCCCACUUUGAUGGGAGAAAAAUUGAAUGCCAUCGUAUUGUUAUGCUAAUCUCCACUAAUUAUAAUUGCUAAUUGUAUUAUUUAUUUGUAUGUUCUUGAUUGUGAUUUGCUUGUUUAUAAUAUUUGCCUAAUCUGGGAGGUACUUCUACUUUAUUAUCUUAUUUUAGAUAGUUCUUAAUAUGUAUUAAUAAUAGUAACUCCAUCUCUGAAAGACAUGCCAAAUAGUUUUGCUUCAGAUAACCUGUCUGCUUCAUAUCUAUCUGGAUUUUUCCCCAAAUCAAACCUCUUAGUCUUUUCUUUUAUGGUUUUUCACUUGUUAAGUAAGACUUUCCUCACUUCCAAUUAUUGAAAUAUUUACCUACAUUUAUGCCUACUAUGUUUAUGAUUGGAUUUUUCAUUUGUAAGUUUUAAUGUUUCUUAGGUUAUUUUUGAUGAGAAUAAAGGAUCCAGUGUAUAAUUUUGACUGUUUAUACGUAUCUAGUCUGUUUUGUUGUUCUGACCAUUCCUUGUAAGUAGCAUACACUAUAACAUUCAGGGAAAUUUUCAAUAACUAGUAAUGCACAUCUUAAAAAUGUUCUGGCUAUUUUCACUUCUCCUUAUGAAAUUUAGACUUAUUUAUUAGAACUCCAGUACAAUUUCUAGUGAAACUAUGAAUGGAAAUGAUAUUUAUAUGAAUUUGAGAAAUAGGUUCUUUGCAAUAUCAUUUUUUACCAUAUAGCAACAUUUGUGUCUCUGUUUAUUCAAGCCUUCUUUUCUGUCCUUUUGUGGAAAUGUUAUGCUGCCCUUCGUAUAAUAAGCUCUUAUACAAUAUAUUCCCAAGUGUUUACAUUUUAUCCUUCUCUCAUUUCUUGAUUUAAAUGGAAUGCUCCAAGUAUUAUACUAUCCAAUUUAAAUGCCCACUAUUGCUAUUUAGACAUUUUAAAUUAGGAAUCAGCAUUGAAAUAGUUAAUGACUUUUUAAUCAUCUCAUCAUAUUUUUAAAAAUUUUUUGACUUAGUUAUAUUAGGGGUUAAAUUUAGAAUGCCUUAUAUUGGCACUAACUUGAACGUUUUUAAACACAUCCUCCUAUUAUAAUGUUUUGUAUUAUUACAUGACUUUUUUUGAAUAACACAAGUGUAGUUUUGUUACAUAGAUGUUUUGCUGAGUAGUAGCUUUUAGUGUAACCAUCACUUGAAUAGUAUACUUUGUACCAGUUAAGUAAUUUCUCUCCUUACACCCUCCCAUCUUUCCACCCUUCCAAGUUUCUAAUGUCUGUUAUUCCACAGUCUGUGUGCGUAUGUACAUAUUAUUUAGCUCCUACUUACAGUGUGAACAUGCAAUAUUUGACUUUCUGUUUCUGAGUUAUUUCACUUAAGAUAAUGGCCUCCAGUUUCAUCUCCCUUGCUGCAAAAAAUGAGACACUGAUUUUAUAAUUAGGAUUUCAGAUUUACAUUCAUAUAAAAAUUUGUCUUUAGGUUUUUGUUUUUCUGUCUUUUGGGGGGUCAGGUGUGGGCAUCAGUUUAUGCUAGAUUCUUGAUUUCUAAAGCAUUCCAUCUUUUUCAGUGCUCCAGAGACAAAAUAUUUGAAAGAAUUCACCUGUGAGCUGGGUUUGGAAUGGUGGUUCUUAGAAAAUAUUUUUAAAUGUCCCAAAUAUUUGCUGACAAAAUUAUAGAAUGUCUAGGAUUUGCUUAAAAAGAGCCUCAGGAACAGCAUGGAGGGAGGAUCUGUGGGAAGUGGGAGUAUUAUGAAAUUCUUGAGUAUUUGGGCUGGUUCCUUGUGCAUUGUUUUGCUUUUAUGCAUGUUUGACAUAUUCAAAAAAGUUUCUAAAAAUGAAAUCACCUGCAAAAUGUUUUCAGUGGUGGUUACAGAUUUUCUAAUGCCUCUAGUAAUUUUGGUAAUUUACAUAUUAUUAGGAAAUAAUGAGAUUUUAAUAUUCUUAAACAUGUGCUUUUAUCAAGUCUCCUAUGUCUAAUUUAGUGCAUUUCUGUUUUAUCUCUUAAUAAGAUUAGAGUUUCACUUUAAAAUCAUCUUUCUAACUCACACCUCUGAUCAGACUACCCACCUGUGGGCAACUACUUUACUUCCUCAAUUGAAUUUGGAAUUUAUUCUUGGGUAGGCAACAAAGCCUUCAUGCCCUGACCCCAGGUGCCUCUCAAACCUGAGCCCCAGCUUUGUUUUCUCCUCCACUUUCCCACACUCCUAAGAGACACUUGGAAAUUCUUCCUCCUCAGCCUGGGGUGCUGUCAGCCAUAGAACAGUGACCAUCUUCUCCAAGACCCCCACAGAAUGUUGUUUCUCUUAAGCCUUCCACAGAUUCCCCCUUGUUUCUCUCUUCUCUCCGUUCUCUGAACCACACAAUGUGUGCUAUAUUAGGUUUGCAUGUUUGGAAACCCACAUUGUUCUUUUUUCCACCUAUUCUACUAGCAGAGACCUUCCCCUUCAGGUGGCAUGGGGAGAAUAUUUUUAGGGUAAGCAUGUAGAAACAGGCUGCAUAUGUGCCUUAGGUCAGCAGUCUUGUUGUAUGUCUGAAGCACUGAAGUAGGUGCUCAGUAGAUGUUUGUAGGAUGAAUGCUGAGUGAAUGUAGUGGGCAGGAUACAGGCAGGUGAUUGGGAGCCUAGUAGGACUGGUCCUGAUGGGAUUAGUGGAGAGAAGUAGUGGGAGAUCACUUGGGGUCACGUUGUCAUUCACAGUUUGUGAAUGGGAGCAAAUAGGGCUGGUGGUGACUGCAGGAGGCAAAGAACAUGUACACAGGCAGUAUAAAGAACUCUUGCUCUUCACGGGUUACCACAACAAUGUGUAUCUUUCCCAACUCAUAAUUAGUAGCAAUGAUGUUUGUAUUAAGGUAACAGAAAUAUGCUCCAAAAGUAGUUUCUCAUUAUAUUGAAAUCAUUUUAUCAUCAUUUGUUUUACUGCCAUUACACCACAAUGACUAUAAUAAAAGUUUUAGAAAAACAGUUAUCUGAACUUCAAAGCUGUUUGCAUAGAGGACGUUUGCUAGAGUGUGCUUUUCCUCCAUUUACCCUAGGGUGAGCUAACUGUGGCCUUCCCCUGAAAGAUCACAGGCUAUUUUACAAGUUUUCUUGUGAGCCGCUCAGCUUUCUUAUACGCAUGAAUUACGCCAGGGAACUGAUUUGGGUGGACAGAGCCCGGAAAUGUCCUGUUUCAACUGAUUUGUUUAAGAUGGCCAUCAACAUGUGCAGGAGAAUGGUCAUAGUCUAAAUAUCCACCUCUGAGAACUUAAAGGUAGGUCAAAUGUUCUAAAAUUACAACACCUUUGCUAAAAUGUCUUAUUCUGACUAUUAAAAGUAAAUAUGAACUAUAUUGAGAUCAGCUUAAUAUGCUAAAAAUGAGCUAUAUUUGGGCUGCUAUUAAUUAAUGAGAAAUAAAACAAAUUAAGUUCAAGAACAUUAAAACUCUACCCGACUUUACAUGUUUAUUUACUUAGUCAUUAUUUAUGUAUUUUAAGUAAUAGACUUCGUGUCU